GGGUUGUGUCUUGGAUUGAGUUUGUACAAACUAAAAGAAAGUGAUAAAGGAAUGUACUUUAAACCUGGUGUAAAAGUUAUGGAUAUUAAAUGAAAACCUAGUGUUGCUCUACCACUAUGUUAGAUGAUUGAGACUUGACUUGAAGUUGUGUUGAUUGUUGAAUAAUUUGAGUAUGAUAUUUAAACUAAAUUGUGAUAGGUUGAGUGCUUAAAUAGAGGUAUGGUAGGUUGUAGAAACGGUCAGGGUUUAAUAGUGUGUUAUGAAUCAC
rnacentral:lncRNA from 1 species